rnacentral:ncRNA from 1 species
UCCUUACGUAUGUAAGGUGUCCAAGUAGAAUUAAUACGACACAGAUGGGCAGUGGUAGAGCACACAGGUGAAGACUAGAAGAAUAUGUAGUGAAUACGUCUGAGCAGGACGACGUCAGAGGAAACUCUGGUUGAAAUCUGUAUCAGUUCUAUCGGUUCUUAUCGACACACUUCGGUAUAGAGGCGAAAGACUAGUCGAACCAUCUAGUAGCUGGUUCCCUCCGCAGUUUCCCCAUGAUAGCUGCAGUUUCUUGCGGUUAUAUCCUGUAAAGCAAAUGAUUACAGGCUUUGGGUCGAAACGACCUCAACAUAUUCUCAAACAUUCAAUGUGUAUGUUGUCUCGGUUUCCUUAUUGAACUUAACACGAACACGUUCUCCAAGAUCCAUUUCGCAAAGAAGAACCGGAGCUAUGGGAAGAACGAAACGUUGGGUUAACGGGCCUAACUUUUCCCUAAUGAAAGCCCAUAAAAGGCGGUGGUUGAUGUAGACAGCAGGAUAGUAAUCAUGAAAGCCGCUACCUGCUAUCCGUUAGGCCCAGGAUCUCCCUACUGCCUACGUGGCUGCCAGUUGGGUUGAGGUCAAAGCAGCCUGUGUGGUUGCCUCUAUACCGAUUUGCUCUUCCUGGUUCUCUUCUGACUUGGUGGAGUUGAGGUAAGCUUUUUGUUAUUUGAUUAUUAGGGAUUCUCAGCGC